UACGUAGGGUGCGAGCGUUGUCCGGAAUUAUUGGGCGUAAAGGGCUCGUAGGCGGUUUGUCGCGUCGGGAGUGAAAUCCACUGGCUUAACUGGUGGCUUGCUUUCGAUACGGGCAGACUGGAGGUAUGCAGGGGGAGAACGGAAUUCCUGGUGUAGCGGUGAAAUGCGCAGAUAUCAGGAGGAACACCGGUGGCGAAGGCGGUUCUCUGGGCCGAUACUGACGCUGAGGAGCGAAAGCGUGGGGGAGCGAA
rnacentral:rRNA from 1 species